rnacentral:tmRNA from 2 species
GGGGGUGAUCCUAGAUUCGACGCCGGUAGGGUGGGCCGGAGAAGCGAGCCGAGGUGCCGCGCCUCGUUAAACAGCGGCACGGCGAUAAGUGCCGACGAAGAGCUUGCCCUGGCUGCUUGAUCGAUAGCGGCCAAGCCGCGUGAGCCCUCGCCUGCGGGGCUGACGCGGUUCCAACCCAGCAGGCUGGCUGUCGGCUCCGCCCGCAGAGCCGGCGGCGAGAUCCCCAAGGCGGGCUGGCCUGCCGCGGACCCUGCCCCUGGGGGCCCGGUGGGCGAGAACCGGACAGGGGCUACGCUCGUAGAGGCUCCGGCUGGCCCGCUGGCGGACCGGGGUGCAAAUCCCCGCACCUCCACCG